GUCAACGGCCAUACCACGUUGAGAGCACCGGGUCUCGUCCGAUCACCGAAGUUAUAAGCAGCGUCGGGCGUAGUUAGUACUUAGGUGGGAGACUGCUGGGGAACACUGCAUGCUGUCGGCU
rnacentral:rRNA from 1 species